CUUCAACGAGCCCAGCCACAGCGGCCGUUCGGCGUCGCGUCUUUGACCGUACGUGGCGAGCAGUGCCUGUGCCUC
rnacentral:antisense_RNA from 1 species